GACGAACGCUGGCGGCGUGCUUAGCACAUGCAAGUCGAGCGGUAAGGCCCUUUCGGGGGUACACGAGCGGCGAACGGGUGAGUAACACGUGGGUGACCUGCCCUCAGCUCUGGGAUAAGCCUGGGAAACUGGGUCUAAUACCGGAUAUGACUCCAUGACGCAUGUUGUGGGGUGGAAAGCCUUGUGCGGCUGAGGAUGGGCCCGCGGCCUAUCAGCUUG
rnacentral:rRNA from 1 species